rnacentral:lncRNA from 1 species
CCAAAAGUCCAAGAGGGUGAAUCGGAACCAUAAUCCAAUUGUAAAGAGAUUGGAAGCUUGGUUGAAGCUUCAAGAUAGUGGAACCCUCACUCGGUUAGGAGGUUGAGGAGAGUGGACGUAGGCAAAGAAGUGCCGAACCACUAUAAACUCUCGUGUUUGCACUCUCUCUUCCCUAACUCUUUUAAAUUAUAUGCAAUUGU